UGCUGAAUUAGUUUAAUUUUUAAAAUAAAAUGUUUGGGGCUUUUAGAUUUUUUUCAGUUUUAAAAGAUUUAGUAU
rnacentral:tRNA from 1 species